rnacentral:lncRNA from 1 species
CCCACCAGACUUAGUUCCAGUAAGUAGUUCCAGCUAUUCACUGAACUCAGCUGGAUGAUGUGGGUAAGUCAUAUAGGGGUGUUGGGCUCUUCAAUUCCUUCUUGCCUCUAUUUUACUUGACAAAUAUUUCCUGGGUACCUCCUGUGUUCCUGGGCCCGUGCUUGGGGCUGGGACAUAGUUUUCACUCUGGGAAUUCCUGUGGGCUUAGUACAGACAUCGAAGGACUGUCUCAGAGACUGUACAGUCAGGAAGGGGCUGCAGAAGAAGGAAUGUGACUCAGUGUCAGUGAGGGGGUGAUAAAUUCCACCCCUGCCCCCAGCCCAUUUGCUUUUUUCUCAAUCCCCAAUUUUUGGAUCAGGAAGCUCCUGCUGUGUUUCAUGGCCGUCACACAUACCCUUUGCUUUCAUCGCCAACCCUCUCAAGAACUGAUCUGGAGGUGUAGGGUCUUGGGUUGUUGGAUUCAGAAAAGGGGCUCCUAAGAUCCAUCAUCUCUCAGUCCUCUCAUCUGGGGGAUUCUGCAGUCAGGUGGGAUCUUUGGAGGUCCAUCCCCUGUCCCGUCACCUAAAUCUUCUCAGACAAAGAAUUUCCUGACGCUCAUCCUCACUCCAUUUCUUAAAUAUUAAGUUCUUGGGGUCCCUGAUCACUUGCACCUUCCAGAUCAAGACCUCAGCCCCCUCUGCUCACUCUUCAGCCCCAAGGUUCUGGCGCUGCCAGCUGAAGAAGGGCUCGGUGGAGGCUGGACUUCCAAACCACUGACCUCCGAGCAUCUUCAAAGAUUCAUUGCCUGGGAGUGUCUUUGACCCUAUCAGACCUUCCUUCUGCCC